rnacentral:tRNA from 1 species
GUCUCAGAUAGCUUAACUGGUAGAGCGGUGGGUGUGCAACUAAUCAAUCCGGGUUCGAGCCCCGGUCUGAACC